CAGUAGCCGCGGUAAUACGUAGGGUGCGAGCGUUAAUCGGAAUUACUGGGCGUAAAGCGGGCGCAGACGGUUACUUAAGCAGGAUGUGAAAUCCCCGGGCUCAACCUGGGAACUGCGUUCUGAACUGGGUGACUAGAGUGUGUCAGAGGGAGGUAGAAUUCCACGUGUAGCAGUGAAAUGCGUAGAGAUGUGGAGGAAUACCGAUGGCGAAGGCAGCCUCCUGGGAUAACACUGACGUUCAUGCCCGAAAGCGUGGGUAGCAGACAGGAUUAGAUACCCCCGUAGUCCCUGUCUCUUAUAC
rnacentral:rRNA from 1 species